GCAGCUCCAGGCGCGGGCCCCGCGCGCGCUCCACGCGGCCCCAGCACAGCUCCGCCUGCAGGCUGCAGCCCUCUAGCCAGGAUUCCCAGCUCUGGGCCGCCGCCGUCCCCGCCGCGGGCGACUGCAGCGACGGCCCCAGGUAGCUGGGAGCGGGGAACGGUUGGCUCAGGGCCGUGGCGUGGGCCUGCGGGAAGGCCCACAAGGGCGGCGCGAGCGCUAGGAGCGCGCUCGGGCCGUGGAAGCUGUGAUAUUCCCGCGGAGCCGCCCACUCGCCCGCGCUUAGGCACAGGGGCCUGCUGCAGAAGUUGUGAGCCUGGAUGGGAGGCAGCAGCAGAGGGGCGGGCAGGUAGGUGUAGGUGAGGGCCUGCAGCGGAGGCCAGACGCCCUUCUCGGGUGCCAGGCAACUGUAUGAGUACAUGGUCUGAAGCUCAGGCGGCGGGCAUUUUUACAGGGGCCUGGUCCUGGUCCAGACCUGUGGUGGGGGUGUGUGCGAUACACUUCGAUCUUAUCUCCACCGUCUGUCCCUGGGGCCUGAUAACUCGGGGCGCUGGUUCACAGCAGGAGCCCUUACCGCGCAUGCGUGCCUCAUAGCUUUGGGGAACUAGUCCUAAAACAUUCAGCUCCCACCUCUCUUGUCCUAGGGCUGGGCCCUAAUCCCAGGCUCCCACCAGGCUUUAAGGACUCAAGGCCUUUUCAAGCCCUCAACCCAGAAAUGCUCUUCCCAGGUAACUCCCCACUCACUUGUCUCCUUCAGCCCAGAGGACCUGGUUCCCGGCAUUUGGUGCAGCCACAGAGGUCCAGAGCAGGACUCCUCUCUGCCACCGCUUUUUAGUCGAGCUGCUCCCCUCCAUACCCUGCGUCAGCCACACCUCCUGGUUUCCAGGCAAAAGGAAACAUCCUGAGCUGGCCAGGAGCCAGCCAGCCUGUGUCUACACUAGCACCUGAGGAAUGUCCAAGACUACCUACAGACUGACCUCACCUCAGCCUGGAGUUCAAUGAUGGGCCCUGUGAGAGUGGCCAGUUUCUCUAUCUGCUCCUACGUGGAGAUCUGGUCUCAUCUGGUGGGAGAUGGAGAGAGUGUGAGAACAAACUCACAUUGGAGCCUGGGAGGGUGAGAAGUUUGUAUUUUAAUAUUCGCCCCUACAUGCUUGCUGAAAGCCUGUUGGUUCUGGGGAAGGAGUUUAGAGGCCCAAUGAGAAAAAUAAGGGUCAAGCUAUGAGUUUCUCUGUAUUCAUUACACCAAUUCCAGUAACAGUCAACAGACUUUUUGGGAAGAGCAUUUCUGGGUCCUCAUCUAAGUAAAGUGGUUCUUGGAAAGUUGGCUCUAUUCCAUCCUUAAAUUGUGGGUGAUUUAGGGCUAAGCCAAUCAGCACCGACCUUCCUCUGGCCAUAGUGAUGGGUUUAGGGUAGCCAUGUGAUUUAAUUUGGCCAAUGGGGCCAAACCCAGACUUUGUUCACUUGUUUGGUGGAGAAGAGUGUUUUCUUUCUCUGGACAGAAAUCUGAAACAAUGCAGGCUGAGUGGAGAGAGAAGGCAUGGAGCUACAGAAGUGGAGCCAAGGGACAGAAACUGGGUCCUGGUGACAUGGUUUGAAUCCUGGACUUUAAACUUAUGCAAGCCAAUAAAUUCCUUUUUCUCUUCCAGUUUUACUCAGGUAUAGUUGACAUGUACCACUACACCAUUGUAUAAGUUUAAGGUGUACAGCAUAAUGAUUUGUCUUAUGUGUUUGUGAAAUGACUACCAGAACGAGUUUAGUUAACGUCCAUCAUUUCAGAUACAAAAAAGAAAAAAUUUUUUUCCUUGUGAUGAGACUUAAGAUUUUCUCUUCUAACAACUGUAAAAUAUACCAGGCAGCAUUAACUCUAGUCAUUAUGUCAUACAUUACAUCCCAAUACUUAUUUACCUUUUAACUGGAACUUUGUGUCUUGUGGCCACCUUUAUGCAAAUCUCUCUCCCUUCAAUAAAUUCUUUUCUUGCUUAAUCUA